CACAUCACGGUGGCCACUCAAAGCUCCUGCCCGUUCCUAGCUAGAGAUGAGCGGGGGUAGGACACAAUCCACGUCUCCACCUGAUGAGUAGAUCGAGUUGACUUUUGCAUUUGGAGAUCCUUAUGGUAGAAUCAACCUAUUGGAAAGUUUGGAUGUGACUUAAACAUUAUAGGUUGGAAGUUAUUCGCCAGGUAGACCUCAACAACUUGUGUUCAACUGAUUGGACAUGAGACCUUUAUAUUAAUUCUGUACUAAGAAUAUAUUUUUUAAAUUUUUAAAUCAUUUUUUAAUAGUUCGUUAAAUAAGAAUGCUUGAGUACUGCUCAGAGAAGGAAGCUGUUGCUACACAGAUUCCAAGAGAAGCAUGCAUCACUAAAGUUCAAGUGAUUUUUAGCCUAGUGCUAUUAUGCUACUUUGCUUCUGCUUUUGUAAGUGAGUUCGAAGCCGUUAAACAAGAAUGCGUGAGUCCUGCUCAAAGAAGGAAGUUGCUGCUACACAGAUUCCAAGAGAAGUAUGCAUUACUGUCCCAUUACUAUUUGAUUUAUUAGACAAUAUGCUUCUCAUCGUUGCUAUUUCUCUAGGUUUUAUUAUUCUUUUGUAAGGGAGAUUUAAGCAAAUGAUGAUAUACAAGCUGAAAUUAACAAGUAACAAUGAAGUAUUAGAGAUGGGACUGUAAACUUGAAAAUUUUUGUUUCAAAUCUCAGGAAUGAUUGGAGAAACAUGAUUCAUAAAGCUAACCCAAAUAGUUGUGACAAAGCUAAGAUGAUGAUACACACAUGUAACGUGCAAGAAUUUGAAAAUAACUUUUGGAGAGAAUGGAAUGCAAAAUUAGAAGAGCAGAAGCUUGAAAAAGUGGUUCACACAGCAUUUGUGGCCCACCAGAUGCCUAGACUGCCCUAAUUUUCAAGCCAUGGGACACCACCUGAACUUCCUGGAUCUUACAUAGCAUGGGAGAAUGAUUUGAAAUCCUACUCAUGUCACUUGCUAGAUGGAUUCAACAGUGCACUCUCAUUGUGAAGGAUCCAUAAAAGGCAACCUCUAAGGCCGAAAAGAAAGUCCAUAUGCCAAGCUCUUGCUAACUUUGAAACCUUAACAAAAAGGAUCCAUAAAUGUAACCAUGAUUGUCAACGAUGGGAAGGAAGGUUAACUGCAAUCUAGCAUUUUUAUUUAUUUAUUUAUUUUUAAAAUAUAAAAAUCUCUCCUUGUUGAUCUAUUAAGGGUUUGAUUAGAAACUGGUAUAUCUUUCUAAAAUUUGCCCCUUACCUCUCCUUUGAAACUAUUCAAUACAUUGUUAAGGCCUGGUUUCAUUAGAAUUCCCCUCACUACAAGAAAGUGGAGAAUAUCCAGUGAAUUUUUACCAGUGGCCAUCACCAACCGCCGGAUGCUCGGACGACUUAAAAUGAAAAGCCCUAUCUCUCUGUCUCUCUUUACUUCUCACUAUCUCUCUCUCUCUCUCCCUCUCCCUCUCCCUC